GUAGCCGGUAUGGUAAGUUCCUGGUAAAAUUGGGCAGCUUAACUGUCCUUGUGCUAGGGAUACUGCUCUACUAGAGGGCGGGAGAGGUCUGAGGUACUACAGGGGUAGGGGUGAAAUCUUAUAAUCCUUGUAGGACCACCAGUGGCGAAAGCGUCAGACUGGAACGCGCCUGACGGUGAGGGACGAAAGCCAGGGGAGCGAACCGGAUUAGAUACCCGGGUAGUCCUGGCCGUAAACGAUGCGCGCUAGGUGUUGCAUGCUCUACGGGGGUGUGCAGUGCCGUAGAGAAGUUGAUAAGCGUGCCGCCUGGGAAGUACCAGCGCAAGCUGGAAACUUAAAGGAAUUGGCGGGGGAGCACCACAAGGGGUGAAGUCUGCGGUUCAAUUGGAUUCAACGCCGGAAAUCUCACCGGGGGCGACGGCAGGAUGAAGGCCAAGCUGACGACUUUGCUGGACGAGCCGAGAGGAGGUGCAUGGCCGUCGUCAGCUCGUACCGUGAGGCGUCCUGUUAAGUCAGGCAACGAGCGAGACCCGUGCCCUUAGUUAUCAGCAGGCCCUCAGGGGUGCUGGACAAACUAAGGGGACCGCUUGCGAUAGCAAGAGGAAGGAGCGGGCGACGAUAGGUCAGUAUGCCCCGAAUCCCUCGUGCUACACGCGGACUGCAAUGGUUAGGACAAAGGGUCCCGACUUCGAAAGAAGGAGGAAAUCCCCAAACCUAACCCAAGUUCGGAUUGUGGGCUGUAACUCGCCCACAUGAAGCUGGAA
rnacentral:rRNA from 1 species